UACGUAGGGCGCAAGCGUUGUCCGGAAUUAUUGGGCGUAAAGAGCUCGUAGGCGGUCUGUUACGUCCGCUGUGAAAACCCAGGGCUUAACCCUGGGCUUGCAGUGGAUACGGGCAGACUAGAGGCAGGUAGGGGAGAAUGGAAUUCCUGGUGUAGCGGUGAAAUGCGCAGAUAUCAGGAGGAACACCAGCGGCGAAGGCGGCGCUCUGGGCCGGUACUGACGCUGAGGAGCGAAAGCGUGGGGAGCAAACAGG
rnacentral:rRNA from 1 species